UGAAAGGGAUUUGGGCUUUCUUAGUGGUUAGGGAGGUGGUCAGGGGAGCAAUGGUGGACUCUCUCUAAGCACCUAAUACCCAGUACUGGGCCUCUAGUCUGGCACACCCACCUUAUCCUGGUCUCACACAACUCGGACACUCUGGACAUUACCGACAACGGCCCGGUCUGGCGCCGAUAGCCGCAGUGUGGAUGGCAGCAGCACCAAGGUUGGAGUCCCCUUACCGACGCCCACACAGCCACAUACCACGCUCCGCUGUGCAGACACCCAGGCACAGGACGAGCCAACGGAACAUCUGACCAUGAAGUUUGCCAGGCUGUGGAUCCUCCAGCGCUGCAACCACAGAAAGUCAUUCUCCAUCCAUAUUAAAGCCCUCUCCAUCACUGGUGCCCCUGACAACACAGGAAAUGGAUCCCACCCGACGGCAGACUCAGCCUCCACACUGUUUAUCACCACAAUUAUCCCCCAUUCAUUCACAGGCUUAUAAGGUAAACUGCCAUUCAGUGAUGUGAAACCACAGGUCUGGACUGGCAAUUUGAUGUAAUUGUGCCGCUGUGAUCAUCUGUAGUCGGAGCUAGGCACCUCAUUUACUGUGGCAUUCUAUUGGAGGGAGAAAAUUAGAACGAAUGAGUCUUUGAUUUUUGGAGAGGGACAAUGGUGUAGUAUAAUGUGGCUGAGAUCAAACGGAAUGGAGGUAGAUGUAGAAAGGGGCAGCCUGCUGGAUGCAUCGACCAAGCCCAGGGAGGGGAGGGGGGACAUCCUCCCACUACCAUGGCACAGAGCACUGUGAACCCGGUGACAAGGACAUGUUCCCUGGCUGGGCCUGAGAGUGGGUCUGGGUCCCCCCAAAGGACACGCACACAGGACCCGUCCAGGACCCCAUCCGCUGGCCUUAACUGACCUUUAGCUAAUGGAGGUCUGGCCUCUGAUCAAUGCACUGAGAGACUGGCGGAAACCAU